CAGGUCUGGCACGCGCGCACCGCAGACUGUGGUGGCGCUACCGGGUGGAGGGAGAGAGAGCGAGGAAGAGAGAAGCGAGACAGAAAGGGAGGAGGAGAAGGUCACGUGAGGGGAACGUCUGUCUCCACGUCUCGACUUCAGUUUAAAACUGAAGAAAAAAAAAAGUGUGCAGCCGGUGCUCGGGCCUGUGACAGCGCUGCUUGCCGUGAUGUGCAGCUGAACAGUCACCUGAUCUAAACAUCACUGAACCAUUAUGGGAAGAGCUGAUGCUCAGAUUGUAGUUUUCCACCACUUUACCCUGGACUCUGAUGACCUCUGGAUACCCUGCUGGAAGGAAUACUGGCUCAAUUAACUUUGUAUAUAAAUACCUAUCUUGUCAUGAACAUAGCCAUAAAUGAUCUUUGGCUUGCUCUGCAUUUGCUUUAUGUAUAUAAUAGCUAUUGCAUAUUUUACAUAAUCUCAAAUUAUACAGUUUAAGACUAAUAAAGACAAUAUUUUACAACU